rnacentral:rRNA from 1 species
AUUGAACGCUGGCGGCAGGCCUAACACAUGCGAGUCGAACGGUAACAGGAAGCAGCUUGCUGCUUUGCUGACGAGUCGCGGACGGGUGAGUAAUGUCUGGGAAACUGCCCGAUGGAGGGGGAUAACUACUGGAAACGGUAGCUAAUACCGCAUAACGUCGCAAGACCAAAGAGGGGGACCUUAGGGCCUCUUGCCAUCGGAUGUGCCCAGAUGGGAUUAGCUAGUAGGUGGGGUAACGGCUCACCUAGGCGACGAUCCCUAGCUGGUCUGAGAGGAUGACCAGCCACACUGGAACUGAGACACGGUCCAGACUCCUACGGGAGGCAGCAGUGGGGAAUAUUGCACAAUGGGCGCAAGCCUGAUGCAGCCAUGCCGCGUGUAUGAAGAAGGCCUUCGGGUUGUAAAGUACUUUCAGCGGGGAGGAAGGGAGUAAAGUUAAUACCUUUGCUCAUUGACGUUACCCGCAGAAGAAGCACCGGCUAACUCCGUG